rnacentral:misc_RNA from 1 species
GAAAUGCGAUAAGUAAUGUGAAUUGCAGAAUUCAGUGAAUCAUCGAAUCUUUGAACGCACAUUGCGCCCGCUAGUAUUCUGGCGGGCAUGCCUGUUCGAGCGUCAUUUCAACCAUCAAGCCCUAGGCUUGUGUUGGGGGCCUGCAGCCGCUGCAGCCCACUAAAAGCAGUGGCGGGCUCGCUGUCAUUCCGAGCGCAGUAGUUACAUCUCGCUCUGGGCGUGGCAGCGGGCAUUUGCCGUAAAACACUCUUUCUAAGGUUGACCUCGGAUCAGGUAGGAAUACCCGCUGAACUUAAGC